rnacentral:tRNA from 2 species
GCGGGCGUAGUUCAGCCAGGUUAGAACGCUGCCCUGUCACGGCAGAGGUCGCCGGUUCAAAUCCGGUCGCCCGCG